rnacentral:rRNA from 1 species
CCCUUAGAUGUUCUGGGCUGCACGCGCGCUACACUGAAGCGUUCAACGAGUAUUCACCUUGCCCGGGAGGGUUGGGUAAUCUUUUGAAAACGCUUCGUGAUGGGGAUAGAUUAUUGCAAUUAUUAAUCUUCAACGAGGAAUUCCUAGUAAGCGCGAGUCAUCAGCUCGUGCUGAUUACGUCCCUGCCCUUUGUACACACCGCCCGUCGCUCCUACCGAUUGAGUGAACCGGUGAAUAAUUCGGACUGCAGCACUGCUUGGUCUCCAGGCUUUGCAGCGGAAAGUUUAGUGAACCUUAUCACUUAGAGGAAGGAGAAGUCGUANCA